UACGGAGGGUGCAAGCGUUAAUCGGAAUCACUGGGCGUAAAGCGCACGUAGGCGGCCUGUUAAGUCAGAUGUGAAACCCCUGGGCUCAACCUGGGAAUGGCAUUUGAUACUAGCGCGCUCGAGUCUGAUAGAGGGGGGUGGAAUUCCAGGUGUAGCGGUGAAAUGCGUAGAUAUCUGGAGGAACACCGGUGGCGAAGGCGGCCCCCUGGAUCAUGACUGACGCUGAGGUGCGAAAGCGUGGGUAGCAAACAGG
rnacentral:rRNA from 1 species